rnacentral:rRNA from 1 species
ACCAGAUGACCCCUUCGGGGUGAUUCUGGCGGAAUGAGCGGCGGACGGGUGAGUAACACGUGGGCAACCUGCCUGUAAGACUGGGAUAACUUCGGGAAACCGGAGCUAAUACCGGAUAGUAUUUCCUUUCUCCUGAUUGGAAAUGGAAAGACGGUUUCGGCUGUCACUUACAGAUGGGCCCGCGGUGCAUUAGCUAGUUGGUGGGGUAAUGGCCCACCAAGGCGACGAUGCAUAGCCGACCUGAGAGGGUGAUCGGCCACACUGGGACUGAGACACGGCCCAGACUCCUACGGGAGGCAGCAGUAGGGAAUCUUCCGCAAUGGACGAAAGUCUGACGGAGCAACGCCGCGUGAGCGAUGAAGGCCUUCGGGUCGUAAAGCUCUGUUGUUAGGGAAGAACAAGUACGAGAGUAACUGCUCGUACCUUGACGGUACCUAACCAGAAAGCCCCGGCUAACUACGUGCCAGCAGCCGCGGUAAUACGUAGGGGGCAAGCGUUGUCCGGAAUUAUUGGGCGUAAAGGGCUCGUAGGCGGUUUCUUAAGUCUGAUGUGAAAGCCCACAGCUCAACUGUGGAGGGUCAUUGGAAACUGGGGAACUUGAGUGCAGAAGAGGAGAGUGGAAUUCCACGUGUAGCGGUGAAAUGCGUAGAUAUGUGGAGGAACACCAGUGGCGAAGGCGACUCUCUGGUCUGUAACUGACGCUGAGGAGCGAAAGCGUGGGGAGCAAACAGGAUUAGAUACCCUGGUAGUCCACGCCGUAAACGAU